ACAAAAACAUGGCCUUUUGAGUGGAAUUUAAGGUCGGGCCUGCCCACUGACGUAGUUGAAGGGCCGCGGUAUUUUGACCGUGCAAAGGUAGCAUAAUCAUUAGUCUUUUAAUUGAGGGCUGGAAUGAAUGGUUUGACGAAAUAUUAACUGUCUCUAUAUAAUAAAUGGAAUUUAACUUUUGAGUCAAAAGGCUUAAAUGAAUAUAAAAGACGAGAAGACCCUAUAGAUCUUUAUAUAGUUAAGUAAUUGUUUUAUUUAGUUGUUUUGUAUUCAAUUAUUUUUGCUGUAUUUUGUUGGGGUGACAUAAAGAUAAAAAUAACUCUUUAUAAUGGGCACAUUGAUUUAUGAGUGAUUGAUCCGUUAUUAACGAUUAUAAGACAAAGUUACCUUAGGGAUAACAGCGUAAUUUUUUUUGAGAGUUCUUAUCGACAAGAAAGAUUGCGACCUCGAUGUUGGAUUAAGGAAUAUGAUUAGGUGUAGCAGUUUAAUUAAUAAGUCUGUUCGACUUUUAAAUCCUUACGUCAUCUGAG
rnacentral:rRNA from 1 species